GACAGAUGGAGGGGGAAACCCGAUCAGCCCCCCGCGUGUGCGAGGAAGGCCCCCGGGCCGAAAGCACCCCCGGCAGGAAAGAAAUCGCACAAACCAACACCCCGUGCGGAUGACGGCACCCGCAGAAUAAGCACCGGCUAACCACGCGCCAGCAGCCGCGGUAACACGCAGGGUGCAAGCGCUAAUCGGAACCACUGGGCGCAAAGCGUGCGCAGGCGGUUCGGAAAGAAAGGUGUGAAAUCCCAGGGCCUAACCUCGGAACCGCACCCCUAACCCCCGAGCUAGAGCAUGUCAGGGGGGGGCGGAAUCCCGCGCGUAGCAGUGAAAUGCGUAGAUAUGCGGAGGAACACCGAUGGCGAAGGCAGCCCCCUGGGAUGAUACUGACGCUCAUGCACGAAA
rnacentral:rRNA from 1 species